CCCCGGAAGAUGGCGGGGGCUGCGGCGGCGUGCUCCUGACUGAAACUUUUCUGCGGGCAGAAGUGGUCCGGCGCGGUGCCCGUCCCUGAGGGCCUCCCGGGCACCCGGCCACCGCCCCACCCCUCUCCGCGCCAUGGAGCCCGAGCUGGCGGCCCAGAAGCAGCCCCAGCCGCGGAGGCGAAGCCGCCGGCUUCCGAGCUCUGCGCGGGCGGCGCCGCGGGGCCUUCGCCGGACAACCCCCGCCCGGAGCCUGCCGGCAGAAGGAGAUAAAUGCUGUUUGGAGUGAAAGACAAAACAAAAGAUCACACUACAUCUGUGAAUCAGGACUUCAGGCUCCUGCCACAGCCCAGGGAAUUUUCCCUUCUCAUAUUUUCUCAAAUACGUAACGUCUGAAGAACUGAAUAGUAUAAUUCAGAAUAUAAUGACCUGGGUUGUGGCUACAGUGACCAGUACAUUAUGUCCAGCCAUCACAAAGUAUGAAGAAAGGUUGCAAAAUAAUACAGUGUGUGAUGAGUCUUUCCUUUCUUCAGAUAGUUCAAGUUUCUGUAGCCCCAUGCAGUGAAGAGUUUACGUAUAGAAGCUAUACAUCUGCAACAACUAAAACAUUUCAGAGAGCCCUGUGUAUUUGCAGUUGACAGAUCAGUGAGGCGACCAACCUCACCUUUAAAACCACCUUCUACACAUGUGGGAAGAGCAGUUGGAAAAACACAUCACAUAAAAGGACAAUCUAUAACAUCUGGACUCAAAAAGAAUAAAACCAGCAUGAUAUAUGCAUACCCUAAGCUAAGAAAUUAUAAAUCUGAUAGUCACCUUUUAGCAUCAUUUGAAACAGGCACAAAAAAAAUCUAAGGAUGCUACCACUGAAACAGAUGGCUUACAGAGUGUAGAAUUUUCUGAUCAAAAAGGAAAAGCCAUGAGUGAAAGAAUUUAAAGAAUAUUUUUGUUAAUUUUAAGUGUCACUUAAAAGCAGAAACUGAAUUAAUUUUAGAAAGAAUUUUUGAAGAAACAAUGUCUCACUUAAUAGAGGCCAUUCCAUCUAUUCUGUUACUGCUGAAGUGUUUGUUGAUCAAAGCAAGCCUGAUAAAACAGCCUUGCUCUCCAAUGCUGAUAUCUCCUCAGUUGCUUCAGAGAGUGUGGAAAAUAUGCUUGAGAAGCUCCAGUCUGCAGUUGAGAAAAAAAUGUUUUGAGAUGUUUUAAAAGAUUUGUCAGUAGACAUAAAACCAAGCUUAACACCCAGUGGAGAAUAUCUCACUCCAUCAAAUGGAUAACGUUUAGAAACUUCACUGCCUUACCCUAUGAAACACAUGUGUGAUAUUACAGAGGAUAUGUAUGGUGCAUGCCAUUUUACAAAAGUUUAUGACUCUUGCACCUUGUAAGCAAGAUGGACUUCCUCAUCUCGGAGAUCCAAUUAAAACUUUCCUAUCAGCAACAUAUGACAGAUCAAAGAUGUACGUUCCUUAAAAAAGCUGACAAAAAGAAAUGUAGUCUUGAAACAGAUGAAGCCAAUUUAACUCUUAAAGAAGAACUAUAAAACUUAAUAUCAAAUAUCUGUUCGCAGUCCCCUUUGGUUGGCUACAUAGAGGAAGCAAUCAGUGCUAUAGUAGGGUACAUACAAACUGAACUUGAUAGUGAGAGGCUUACUGCCUCUGAAGAAACGGUAGUACUCCUUCAGCUACUCGAUGAUAUCUUCACUCAGUUGCACCAGGAGCCAUUAAAAGCAGAUGGUGAAAAAUGUAGACGCUCUAGACUAAUUUUUCUGACCCUGAAGGAAAGUACAGAAUAACUGGCACUAGGUUACCCAGUGGUCCUAGAUCUAGAAAACCAUUUCCACCUAUUAAUGUUCCUGGCAUGGUCCUUUAUUCUGAAGAUGAUAAUGAAGAAAUAGACACGAAGUACUGCGAGUCAAAUAUAAAGGACACACACUAUAAAAGGUAACCCAACAAGAACUAAGAACUCUAGGGGAUCUACCUAAUACAUUGAAGGAAACGCAGAGAGUCAGCCAGAAUGGGGAAACA